rnacentral:sRNA from 1 species
AAAAGGCAUUUGAAGUGGAAAUCCUUUUUUAGCUUUUGCAAAAAGCUAAAAAAGAUUGCAACGGAAAGCGGGAAACAGC